UACGAAGGGUGCUAGCGUUGUUCGGAAUCACUGGGCGUAAAGCGCGCGUAGGCGGCCGAUCAAGUCAGGGGUGAAAUCCUUGGGCUUAACCCAAGAAUUGCCUUUGAAACUGUUUGGCUGGAGUAUUGGAGGGGAGUGCGGAAUUUCUAAUGUAGCGGUGAAAUGCGUAGAUAUUAGAAGGAACACCGGUGGCGAAGGCGGCACUCUGGACAAUUACUGACGCUGAGGCGCGAAAGCGUGGGGAUCAAACAGG
rnacentral:rRNA from 1 species